GAAAAUCGCUACUUUUCUACUACUACUACUAUCGCUACUAAGUCAUUAACCGACUAUACUUGCUCAUGACUCUACUCAACUACCAUCUGAAUCAUUGACCAGGACAAUGAUGCCUUUUUGCGGAGGUGUUUUUGCCAAUAGAUGGUGGGCUACCUUUUUAUGUUUAGAUUUUAUGGCCUACAUUUCUAAAAACCUAUAUAUGUAUGUAUACUGCGAGCAAAGGAAAGAAUAUGCGAAAAGUUUAAAGUCGUCAACACUGAAAUAGAUCGACUUAGAUGAUCCUGAUGAAGAAUAUACAGGGUCGGAGAUGUUUCCACUUGUCCCACUUUUGACCAUAAUAUAUUUAUAUGUAUGUAAAAAAUUAUGUGCAUACAUACAGAAAAUUAAAAACCAAACUUGCCUGAGAAAAGUCUGAUCAUAAAUAUAUUACCCUGCCAGUGUACACAAAUAAAAUAGGAUAGCUCUUUAAAGUUUUAUUGCAAAAUUAUGUAGUACAUUAA